GAUGAACGCUGGCGGCGUGCUUAACACAUGCAAGUCGAACGGUGAAGCAGGAGCUUGCUCUUGUGGAUCAGUGGCGAACGGGUGAGUAACACGUGAGCAACCUGCCCCUGACUCUGGGAUAAGCGCUGGAAACGGCGUCUAAUACUGGAUAUGUGAUGUGACCGCAUGGUCUGCAUCUGGAAAGAAUUUCGGUUGGGGAUGGGCUCGCGGCCUAUCAGCUUGUUGGUGAGGUAAUGGCUCACCAAGGCGUCGACGGGUAGCCGGCCUGGGAGGGUGACCGGCCACACUGGGACUGAGACACGGCCCAGGCUCCUACGGGAGGCAGCAGUGGGGAAUAUUGCACAAUGGGCGGAAGCCUGAUGCAGCAACGCCGCGUGAGGGAUGACGGCCUUCGGGUUGUAAACCUCUUUUAGCAGGGAAGAAGCGAAAGUGACGGUACCUGCAGAAAAAGCACCGGCUAACUACGUGCCAGCCGCCGCUGUAA
rnacentral:rRNA from 1 species